CCUACGGGUGGCAGCAGUGGGGAAUAUUGCACAAUGGGCGCAAGCCUGAUGCAGCCAUGCCGCGCGUAUGAAGAAGGCCUUCGGGUUGUAAAGUACUUUCAGCGGGGAGGAAGGUGUCGUGGCUAAUAACCACAGCAAUUGACAUUACCCGCAGAAGAAGCACCGGCUAACUCCGUGCCAGCAGCCGCGGUAAUACGGAGGGUGCAAGCGUUAAUCGGAAUUACUGGGCGUAAAGCGCACGCAGGCGGUCUGUCAAGUCGGAUGUGAAAUCCCCGGGCUCAACCUGGGAACUGCAUUCGAAACUGGCAGGCUAGAGUCUUGUAGAGGGGGGUAGAAUUCCAGGUGUAGCGGUGAAAUGCGUAGAGACCUGGAGGAAUACCGGUGGCGAAGGCGGCCCCCUGGACAAAGACUGACGCUCAGGUGCGAAAGCGUGGGGAGCAAACAGGAUUAGAUACCCUAGUAGUC
rnacentral:rRNA from 1 species